AAGUCGUAACAAGGUUUCCGUAGGUGAACCUGCGGAAGGAUCAUUAAGGAAGUUGUGGUGUGCGCUCUGCGUGAUUCACCAUCAACACUUUUCUUGUAUACUGUCUGGCCUGGCUUGCCAGUGCCCAUUACAACACCUAUAAAUUAGUCAGAGUCUAUUAUUAACAAAUACAACUUUUAACAAUGGAUCUCUAGGCUCUC
rnacentral:misc_RNA from 1 species